ACUUCCGGUCAGCGCAGCCCAGGCCGCAGGAGGGUACGGCCCUGGACCCCCUCUCUCCAGUGGGGGCUGGAGAUGGGAGCGCAACUGGGGCUCCGCCGAGGUCUCUGAGGGCACUUCACCCCCGCCCCCGACCCCAGGAACUGCGAAACCCCAAAUCUUCUUGCCCACCGCGGGGCGCAGGUCCUGCCCACCCGCUCUCCAGGGACGCGCGCAGAAAGGCAGUCCCGGCCGCCUCCCCGCGCCAGGGUCCGGGCAAGCGUCUGAAAGCUGUGCUUGGGCCGCAGCUCCAGCCAUCGCCCCUCACCCCCGGUUCUCCCGGGCCACGUUCAUUGCACAGUUUCGAUUUGUUUAGGCCGGGGUCUCCUCUUCUUUCCUCAACAUCUUUUUCUGUGGGCUCCCCGCCUCCGUAUUCCUCCUCAUCCUCUGCUCCAAGGUUUCCGUUUUUUGCACCGGAGGCCGCCCUUCUGCGACCAGCCUUCUCCGGCCGCUCGGACUCGGCCUCUGCAGCGGGGUGCACCCGGGCGUCCCUUCGGCUCCCGGCCCUCCCUCUCUCCUCGUCGCCCAGCCCUGCCUCCAACUUUGCGCCCCCGGCUGCCCCGCGCCGCGGCUCAACUGGACAUCCGAACGCUCCGACUGUCCGCUCCCCUCCCCUCCCCCGGCCGACACGUGGGGACCAGCGCUGACCUUGGGUGAGGCCACGCUGUCCCCCGCUGCUCUCCAGUCACCCCUGUAUCCCUUUGACUCUUGGGCUUCCGAGUAGGGGCUCCCGGAGUAUUACCAGGGAAAAGGGGAGCGCCCUUCCCCUGGUAAUGAGAGUAGCCACGCAAUGUCGGCUGCGCAAACUGGGCCUCAGAGCGGCCAGGCCAGGGUCAAACCAGGAAGAGGGGGAGGGGUGGACAGCAAGGCUGAAGAGACCUGACUUUAUUUGUGUUGCUUCAACUGGUCCUGAAUGGUUACACGAGGCGCGCGCUCUUGCACACACACCGCGGGCAGCCCAAACCCUCGCUGGCUCGGCCCGCCGGCUCCUCGCCCUGCCAGUCCUGAGCCGGCUCUGAGCCACUGGAGUCAGAGGGCCCGGGCGCCUGCCUUCUCGGUGCGGGCUGGGGAGGACCUGCUCGCGAAGGGCUGCCAACUGAACUUUUCCUGCACCAGGUGAGCCCCUUCUGAAAUCCUCGCUGCGGGAUACUUUUUUUUUUUUUGAGGGGGCGAGAGGAAGUUGCAGAGCAGCUCCGGCCCCACCACCUCUUUCCGCAAUAAAGCCACCAUCCUCAGGGCGCAGAGAUUUGUUCUCCUCCUCUCCUUUCUUGGAGCUGUGUGGCCAGUUCUCUUACCCAGGCAAAGCUGAGGUUUCCUGCUCGGGUUCACUGUUUACUUAGGAUUUCUCUAAAACUAGCGGCGCCAACUUGCCCUCCCUCUGCGCCUUCCCUGGCGGCCCCCACCCAGGCCUGGAGGAACUUCCAGAAGGGUGAGGCCGGGCAGGCGGGGGCGAGGAGGCCGCGGCCUGGCAGGGACUGUUCUUCCAUCCUUUGCUGGAUUUCCCGCGCCUUCUAUCCCUGCAGAUUGAGCUCUGGCCUUCACCCCGGGCCUCUUAACUUCAGGUCCGCCCAAGUGCCCUCCUCUCAGCAGGCGGAGGCUCACAGCUCUGUCGGGAGUAGGGAGGGCUGACCGCAUUGUGGUGCAAAGUGACAAGUCGAGUGUUGACUUGGGGACUGCGAUGACCGGCCACCAGGAAGGGAACCAGGUAUGCUCUGGGGUCCCGGGCGGCGCCCUGGCAGCGGACGUUCCCGCAGGUAGUGCGCGACUUUUGCCCCAGGAAGAAGUCGCUGCUGCCUGCAGGGUGGCCUUGGAGAGGCUCGGGCCUCCAUUGAGACUGCUCACUUCCUUUUCUCCGGGACCACGGCUCUUCAGCUUUUUCCGCCCUAGGCUCCCGCGCCUCCUCAGUUCCCCAUGGGAGAGUUAUUUGAAGGCUCCCCGGAGAUGGGAUUUGGCCCACCAAUCCUAGCAAGUCAAGGCCCGCCCGGCUAGGCGCAGAGAGGCGGCCUCCCUCCCGCUACCCCGGGUGGGGUAGGGACCCCCUUUCCCCAGAGACCCUCUAGCACCUGAGUGUUGAUGAUCAUUACUUUAAAUUAAAAGUCUCUUUUCUCCUUUC
rnacentral:lncRNA from 1 species